UACCUGGCAGCUUAGGAAUUCAGAUCAAGUACUCCAGUGAUCUAUGGAGAAGCCGCAUCACCUUUUAUGAUCCAGUCCCUGAAGUCACAUAAAGUCACAGUAGCCACAAUCAUAAGCCCACCCAGAUUAGAGAGGCAGGAACAUAGACAUCCACAUCUCAGAGUGUCACACUGUAAGAAGAGCAUGUGACAGGGAAUUAUUGUUGCAAGUGUCUUUGGAAUAGACCAUCUAUCAAAGACACACAAGACAGGCUGCUCCAAAAAUAGCUCUCCCCCAAAUCAGCUGCAGUCCCCAACUUCCACCAUUAAUUUCACAUCACUUAGUAUUUGGACACAGGUAAGGUCUCAUGAAAGAAGGUACAGAAUAUGAUUCCAACUUGGCAGCAAGAUGCCAAAAAGAGAGGAAGAGAUUUUUACCUUCUUGAGCCACACAAAUACUCGGGAAGCAUCAGGAAGGAGGCCGAACACAGUGUCAUCUAGUCACCAGCAGAAUCAGAGCAACUCCCCAUCACCAGCUGAAAGGAGAGCCAGAAAUGAAAAUAUAUGUAUAUAUAUGAAGGCACUAGAGACAAAGACCUCUAGGCUGGGACAAUCUGGGCUGACAAGAGUGACUGUUGGACCCCAAGCAGCCAAUAAAGCCAUUUAACCCACCUCCACUGUUGAACUGGACCCUCAUAUUCAUAUCUUUUCCUUUCCACAAACCACUCUCCAACAUGCCCAUUCUCAGUCCCUCUCCCAGUCUCCUUCUCUCUCUCUCUCUGAGUUGACUCUGUUUUCCAUUCUAGUGCUAGGUACAAGAGGGACAUUGUAGAUUACCAAAGCCUUCUACAAGCUGUCUGGAGCACAGUUGCCAUCCUAGUUCACACAUCAAUUGACUACAGCUCCCUAUGUUCCCUCAACUUUGUAUCCCAUUAGUUUCCAAGCUCAGCGCAUUCCUUCAUUUCCUCUUCUGUAUUUCCAUAGCCACAUCCUUAGGUCAAGCUCUAUGAGCUCUUCUGUGGGUUUAGGCAAUAGUUUCCUCCAGAGGCACCCAGCUACCCACUCCUUUUUCAUGGCAUCACAAAAGUCGAGUUUCCAUCUCAUUUUGUAAGUCUCUUUCUUCAAACCAUGGUUCCAUUACUUGGGAUAAGGCCCAGUGUUCCAACAAGACAUACAAUGCUGCUACCAGUGUCUCAGAUGACAUGUUCAGCCUCUUCUGUAGCCACUCCUCCUCUCCAUCACUCUUCUCUUGGGCCUCAGUAAUGUAACAAUUUAUCCUGGCCCUUUCUCCAUAUGGCUCAUGCUACUGCUGUCUUUCUGAAAUG
rnacentral:lncRNA from 1 species